AGAGUUUGAUCAUGGCUCAGGACGAACGCUGGCGGCGUGCCUAAAACAUGCAAGUCGAGCGGACAGAUGGGAGCUUGCUCCCUGAAGUCAGCGGCGGACGGGUGAGUAACACGUGGGCAACCUGCCUGUAAGACUGGGAUAACUCCGGGAAACCGGGGCUAAUACCGGAUAACUCUUUUCCUCACAUGAGGAAAAGCUGAAAGAUGGUUUCGGCUAUCACUUACAGAUUGGCCCGCGGCGCAUUAGCUAGUUGGUGAGGUAACGGCUCACCAAGGCCACGAUGCGUAGCCGACCUGAGAGGGUGAUCGGCCACACUGGGACUGAGACACGGCCCAGACUCCUACGGGAGGCAGCAGUAGGGAAUCUUCCGCAAUGGACGAAAGUCUGACGGAGCAACGCCGCGUGAGUGAUGAAGGUUUUCGGAUCGUAAAACUCUGUUGUCAGGGAAGAACAAGUACCGGAGUAACUGCCGGUACCUUGACGGUACCUGACCAGAAAGCCACGGCUAACUACGUGCCAGCAGCCGCGGUAAUACGUAGGUGGCAAGCGUUGUCCGGAAUUAUUGGGCGUAAAGCGCGCGCAGGCGGUUCCUUAAGUCUGAUGUGAAAGCCCCCGGGCUCAAC
rnacentral:rRNA from 1 species